GGAUGUAGCUCAGGGGUAGAAUAUGUGCUUAGCAUGGAUAAGGCCCUGGGUUCCAUCCCCAGCACCA
rnacentral:tRNA from 1 species